rnacentral:ncRNA from 1 species
UUAAAAUACAAAUAGGGUCACCUAUAUUGUAUACCUACAUACCCGAACAAAGAGUUUAAGCGUACUGUAAGUACGUCGGACGUAGGGCCACCAGUAGGUGGCUUUUUUAUUU